rnacentral:misc_RNA from 1 species
GAUGAAGAACGUAUCGAAAUGCGAUACUUGGUGUGAAUUGCAGAAUCCCGCGAAUCAUCGAGUUUUUGAACGCAAGUUGCGCCCGAAGCCAUUCGGCCGAGGGCACGUCUGCCUGGGUGUCACGCAUCGUUGCCCCCCCAAACUCCGGUUCGGGCGGGGCGGAAGUUGGCCUCCCGUGCGUGCCUGCGCGCGCGGUUAGCCCAAAAGCGAGUCCUCGGCGACGAGCGCCACGACAAUCGGUGGUUUUUUUACCCUCGUUCCUCGUCGUGCGUGUCCCGUCGCCCGAACGCGCUCUUGUGACCCUCACGCGUCGCCUCGGCGGCGCUCCCAACGCGACCCCAGGUCAGGCGGGACUACCCGCUGAGUUUAAGCAUAUCAAUAAGCGGAGGA